GUAAGAUUUCUAUUUUUUUUUUUUUUUUAAGAAAUUAAUACUUUUAUUCAGCAAGGAUGCAUUAAACUGAUCAAAAGUAACUUCUAUUACAAAGAAAUUCUGUUUUUUUAUGUUUAAAUAUAAAAUGAUUACAGUUUCCACAAAAAUACAAAGCAGCAUGACUAUUUUCAACAUUGAUAAUAAGGAGAAAUGUUCUCAAGCAGGAAACCAGCAUAUUUGAAUGAUUUCUGAAGAACCAUGUGACACUGAAGACUGGAUUAAAUUACAUUUAAAAAUACAAUAGAAAGCAGUUAUUUUAAAUUUGUAAUAAUAUUCCACACUAUUACUGUUUUAGUGUAUUUUCGAUCAAAUAAACACAGCCUUGCCAGUAAGACACUUCUUUCAAAGAUCUAUCCGAUCCCAUAUUUUGAAAGACUAGCUGUCAUUAUUUAUUCACCCUUAUAUUGUUGCAAACCCGUAUGAAUUUAUAUCUUCCAUGAGACACAAAAAGAGACAUUUAGCAGAAUGUCUAAGCUGAACAUAUCCAUGCAUUGAAAGUGAAUCAGGGGCUUUCAAGCUCCACAAAGACAAAUAAGUGCCAUAAAGCAUCAUAAAAGUCACAUGCACUAUAUUCUAAUUCAAUUAGUUAUAAUGUGAACAUAAAUACAUUUUAUUUAUUAAUUGAAAAUCUUGCUUUAAAUGUCUUGAUGUACAGCUGUAGUCCCCAUUCACUUUCAAUGUAAUUAAAAGAGCAGCUUCUACAAUAAAUAAAGUUUCAGAAGACACGAAGGUGAAUAAAAGAAAAAAUUUGAAAAUGAUUUCUGACGUGGAGAACAGCAUGUUUUCAGAGGACAAACUAUACUAAGAAAACUAUACUAAUAGUGAGUCAUUCUCAUCACACGGCGCUUUUAUCUGAACCGCCCAAGCAUGUAGCUUACGGCUAAACAACACCACCGCCGUCAUCCCGAUCAUCUGCUUUUCCUCAUUACACCAGUCCUUUAAACACAAACAUACACCGGAACAUCAUUACCAACUUCAUAAAAAAAAUUUAAUAUUAGAAAGAGCUAAAAUGGAUAUACUCACUCUCAGAAAAAAAGUGUAUUUAUAAUGUUAUUUGGUGUAUCGUGACCUAAAAUGAAGUCAGGCCUGUUCUGAUAAACAGUCACAAACAGCAAGGAAUAAACAAUGCUAGGAAAAUGCAUAUAAACAUAAAAUCAGAUAGCAAAAUAUCUUUUAAAUGUAAGGAGAAAACACUUCCUACAUGUGUUUGUCUGGGAAAUCACUUAAACCUCUUGUUUAUGCAAUUACAAAAUCGUCCUGUUCAGUCUAUAUCUUGUUUCUAUUUCUGCAUAUUGUUGGGUAGCAUGCCAAUACAUUUAAAUCAUCAAUUUUUGUAUUUUUUUUUACUUUUGUACAAUAAGCAAUCUUGGUAUUGUUUUGGACCGAUUUGUAACGUAAAAUCACGAUUAAUUGUUUUCGACUCGUGGCAAAGUGAAAGUUUAUAACAGCAAGCCAAAUAUGCGAGAUGUCUUGGCCACAAUGAGCUGAUAAGCAAAGAGUUAAUGCAUUUACAAUCUGCAAUCAUGAGAAUCUACAGCGCUGACUAAAAGCCGUAGAAUGCGGAGGGCCGAGACCAUGCGGUGCCCUACUGACAUCAUGCAUCAGCAAACCUAUUCUUUGCACCCUUUGAAAAAAUGUGCUGAAUCUUACUACUAAAAAAAGAGAGACCAGACGAAAUGACUAAACCAUUUCACAAACAUUUCACGAUUUGUAAUUUGGAUAGUUCGUAUGAUGACAAAUCGAACUGAAACCAGGCUCGGAUGAUCAAAUAGGCAAUUUAAGAGUCAUUUGACACCUGAUUCUACUCAAACAACUGAUACUCGUCCUUUUCCUGUGACAUUAAGGUGACAUUUAGCCAGCUCCACAUCAUCUUUACCAGAAAUCAUAACAACUCAUAUAAACUUAUUUAAAAAAAUAAAAAAGCCACCUUCUAUCCAGCUGCUGUAUACCCAGCCAGUUCUGUAAUUGAGCAGAUUUACGACACUGUAAAUGUAAAGACUGCCCACAAGAGAAAUGAUCUUUAAAAAAUAUUUUUUUAAAAUUACAACAUUUGCAUUUAAUCAAAACAAAUCAUAUUUACGCUCCUUCUCACUGGUGAGGUCAAAUGAAUCAAUUGUGUUGUGCAUUGAGUUAAGGGAUUAUUUUAAAUGAAAUAUUAAUGCACAUAAGCUAGGACAUGUAUUUUGUGUUGCAUAAAAUACUAAUCUUCUCUACAUAAUAUGAAAAGGCAAUUAUGGUCAACAAAUGACGUGUGUACAAUCUAGCGGUCAAGUCGAUUCAAUAAAUGACGUGGCCUAGUAAGCUGUCAAGUGAAAGCAUCUCAUUCAUUGCCAGAUUUGAUUUUAAAAAUUUUUAUUAACUUAUUAACCAUGCAAAAUGAAUACAGCAUGAAACAUACACAACAGAACACAACACAAAGCAUGAAAGUUACAUUAGUAUGCUUGACUAUGCUUUAAAUGAAUUAAACGAACGCGGAAGCUAAAUGCAUCAAAAAUUCUCCCACAACAAUUAUAAUUAACACCUGCGACAAAGCAAUGCCAUCUUCAUGUAAUCAAGAUGCAUCUACAUUUAGACAACCUUAUACAUACAGUGCACAUAAAAGAAGUCUUAACCUACUUUUGAAGAAAAAAAAAUCACAAAACAAACCUGCGAUUCAAUUUUCUUGCUUCAGUUGAAA
ensembl:lncRNA